CUACGGGAUGCAGCAGUGGGGAAUAUUGCACAAUGGGCGCAAGCCUGAUGCAGCCAUGCCGCGUGUAUGAAGAAGGCCUUCGGGUUGUAAAGUACUUUCAGCGGGGAGGAAGGGAGUAAAGUUAAUACCUUUGCUCAUUGACGUUACCCGCAGAAGAAGCACCGGCAAACUCCGUGCCAGCAGCCGCGGUAAUACGGAGGGUGCAAGCGUUAAUUGGAAUUACUGGGCGUAAAGCGCACGCAGGCGGUUUGUUAAGUCAGAUGUGAAAUCCCCGGGCUCAACCUGGGAACUGCAUCUGAUACUGGCAAGCUUGAGUCUCGUAGAGGGGGGUAGAAUUCCAGGUGUAGCGGUGAAAUGCGUAGAGAUCUGGAGGAAUACCGGUGGCGAAGGCGGCCCCCUGGACGAAGACUGACGCUCAGGUGCGAAAGCGUGGGGAGCAAACAGGAUUAGAUACCCUCGUAGUC
rnacentral:rRNA from 1 species